UAUGGAAACUCCUCACAAGAUUCGAGCUGUUCGUGAAAGCCAGAAUCUCUCUCUCGAGUGCUAAGCGCCAAUUUAACAUGCUGCCUGCCUUUGCCUCACUCCCUGCAAUUCAAAUUCGUCCGGAACAGAGAUGGGCAAUUGGUGGCCAACACUCGGAGUGGCCCCAAGAUUAAGUUUUGAACAUUAUAAAUCACCUGAUCUAUUUUUAACUGUAAUAACACUGUUUCCCACAUAUUUGCAGCCAUUACUUAGGAACACUUCCAACUCAUCUCCAUUCGAGAAGAAGAACGUCGAGAUGCUGUCAGCCAUGAUCAAUUUUGUGGCAUUUUAGAGUUACAAAAGCUAAUGGAGACACUUUCAAACUGGAGAGAAUAAGGAGGGUCUAUGAUGUAAUUACCAGGAAAGGGCACAUUCACAUAUACCGCUGAAAGAGCAGGAAGUGAACACAUUGGCUUAGCAUUCAAAGGACCUAACAAUAAAUCAACCAUUGGUGGGCACAUCAGUAAAUUUUGCCGGUCCAUCAUCUGGCCCGCGAGUCAUUCUUCAGUGCCAGGGAGGCUGCGAGCGAGCGCGUUAGCUCCCCCAUAUAGUGCGCCUGCUUGACAGCAAGUCCAAGAUGCCCCGCGUUUCACUGGCCACCCAGUCACAGAGCCCGCCGCCUCAUCAGUAACAUACACUUGUCUCAAAGAUUAAACAAUGCAAGUCUAAGUACACAUGCCCCGUGAAGUGAAACUGCAAUGC